rnacentral:rRNA from 1 species
CAAUAGCGUAUAUUUAAGUUGUUGCAGUUAAAAAGCUCGUAGUUGGAUUUCGGGUGGCGUCGGCCGGUCCGCCGUUUCGGUGUGCACUGGCUGGGCGCCAUCUUCCUGUCGAGGACGCGUAUCUGGUCUUUAUUGAUCGGGUCGCGGAGUCGGCGCAGUUACUUUGAAAAAAUUAGAGUGUUCAAAGCGGGCUUACGCUUGAAUAUAUUAGCAUGGAAUAAUAAGAUAGGACUUUGGCGUCUAUUUUGUUGGUUUGCACGCCAUUGUAAUGAUUGAUAGGGACAGUUGGGGGUAUUCAUAUUUAAUUGUCAGAGGUGAAAUUCUUGGAUUUAUGAAAGAUGAACUACUGCGAAAGCAUUUACCAAGGAUGUUUUCAUUAAUCAAGAACGAAAGUUAGGGGAUCGAAGACGAUCUAGAU